rnacentral:rRNA from 1 species
GACGAACGCUGGCGGCGUGCUUAACACAUGCAAGUCGAACGGAAAGGCCCUGCUUUUGUGGGGUGCUCGAGUGGCGAACGGGUGAGUAACACGUGAGUAACCUGCCCUUGACUUUGGGAUAACUUCAGGAAACUGGGGCUAAUACCGGAUAGGAGCUCCUGCUGCAUGGUGGGGGUUGGAAAGUUUCGGCGGUUGGGGAUGGACUCGCGGCUUAUCAGCUUGUUGGUGGGGUAGUGGCUUACCAAGGCUUUGACGGGUAGCCGGCCUGAGAGGGUGACCGGCACCAUUGGGACUGAGAUACGGCCCAGAAUCCUACGGGAGGCAACAGUGGGGAAUAGUGCACAAUGGGCGGGAGGCUGAUGCGGCAGCGCCGCGUGCGGGAUAACGGCCUUCGGGUUGUAAACCGGGUUCGCCUGUGACGAAGCGUGAGUGACGGUAAUGGGUAAAGAAGCACCGGCUAACUACGUG